rnacentral:rRNA from 1 species
UUUUUAAGGUUCUUGAUGUGAAAGACCUUCGGCUCAACCGAAGAAGUAGCAUCGGAAACUAGGGAAACGUUAGAGUGCAGAAGAGGACAGUGGAACUCCAUGUGUAGCGGUGAAAUAGCGUAGAUAUAUGGAAGAACACCAGUGGCGAAGGCGGCUGUCUGGUCUGUAACUGACGCUGAGGCUCGAAAGUAUGGGUAGCAAACAGGAUUAGAUACCCUGGUAG